UAUCUUCCAAAUUAUCUUUAAUAUAGAGCCAGCAUUGCAAAAGUAAAAUCCAAUUAUCCUCCAAUAUUGCAUUCAGAUUUUAGCCUUAUUCACAUCUCAAAAAUAACAUUAUAUAUUCUGCAAAAACAUUUACACCACCAACACUGGCUAGUGGAUGUUGACAUCCAGUGUGUAAUCUGUACAUUGAAAUUCUUGCACUUCAUUUGGUCAACAUAUCCAAUUGGGAUGCUUCUUCCUCGAUGCUCAGCAUAUCAGAUCAUCUCGUAUUUUAUCGUACACAUUCUGUAAGUUGAUAGAAACCACUUGUAAGUUUUUUACCUUCUCUACAUCCUUCCAUCAAUUUCUUGAGCAAGUAAUGAUGGUUCGCUUUCCUCCCACAUAUUUAGUUUAGAACCUUGUUACUUGUCUAUAUAUUUGUUGCAUGAGCCACUCCAAUAUCUCCAUAUUGUCACCUACAAGUUUAAAAUAACUGCAGUUUAUAUGACCUUUACAAGUCCUAAUAUAAUGUAGAUUGCUUCAUCAAGGGAAUUAGCAGAAAAUAAUUGACAAGUAACAGCCUAUGAUAAAAAGCCUAGGUGAGAAAGUUUAAGUUGGCAAGAACGAAUCUAUGAUGGUGCAACAGUUCAUCUAGCAUGUACAAACACACACACACACACACACACACACACACAC
rnacentral:lncRNA from 1 species